GUCACGGGGCGGCGGGCGACGUCACGGGUGACGUCACCCGGCGCCCCCCGCAGGGUUCCUGACGCGGGAGGAGCGGCGGCGCCUGGAGGGGCUGCGCUCGCCCUACAACAAAUUCUGGGUGCCCUGCGCCUGGUUCGGGGCGCUGGCGGGGCAGGCGCGGCGCGAGGGGCGGGUGCGCGACGACUGCGCCCUGAAGCUGCUCAUGGAGGAGCUGAACCGCUUCAGGGCCAACUGCAGCCUCCUCUUCCACUACGACUGGAUCAGCGUCCCCCUGGUCUACACCCAGGUGGUGACCAUCGCGGUGUACACCUUCUUCGUCACCUGCCUGAUCGGGCGGCAGUUCCUGGACCCGGCCCAGGGCUACGCGGGGCACGAGCUGGACCUGGGGGUGCCGGUGUUCACCCUGCUCCAGUUCUUCUUCUAC